rfam:Bacillus pseudalcaliphilus strain DSM 8725 scaffold22, whole genome shotgun sequence.
AUAAAAUUAACAUUCAUACCGUAGACAGUAGGGGCUUUUAGCUUAAUUAUCCUACCGAGGUAAGCGAUAUAGAUUCUUCAAUUAGAGUCCAUAAUGCCCUCAUGUCUAUUAUAGCGUGAGGGCUUUUUAUAGCUUAAU